AAGGAACUCUUAAAAACCUCUGAAAUCUUUAAAGGUAGACUCAACCUAAGAGUUUUCCCGGAAACUCUAUAAAACCAAACUAGAGCUUUAUGGUUGAGCUCACAAACCUUCUCUAACACUUUGGUACUAUUGAGACAACUCUCUCAACCAAAGUGGACACACACAAGAGGUGAUUAGAAGAGUGGAAUAUUAAAGCAAACAACACUUCUUACUUGUAAAGAUGAACAAGAAGAUUAGAAGAAGAAGUUGGAGAGCUUUUGAAGCUUUGGAAAGCUAGGACACUUGAGCACUUGAAAGCUUGGAAGCUUGAAGGCAAAAACGUGUGGGCAAGUGUAGAGUGAAAGCUCUUGAGUUUGCUUGUAGUGUGGUAAGUGAAAAUGAGGGGAUUACCUUUCUAUUUAUAGCCUUGGCCACUCAAUGUCCAUCCUUGGAUCUUCAAUGGAUGGCUCCUUGAUUUCUCACAUAAAUCCAAGCUUUGUCUUUGAAUAGUGUUUUCCUUGGAUAGUGUAGUUUUGUCCCCUUGUUGGAGAAUCUUAUCUUUGUUGGAGAAUAUUAUUUUUGUAUAAAUUCAAACUUGAAUAGUGUUUUGUCCCCUUGGAAUAUUAUACCUUGAAUAAAGUGUCAAAAGAUAAUAAUAAUAAUAUUCAAGGUAAAAAUACAAUUAUUCCAAAUAAUAAUAUUCAAGGUGAAAAUGCAAUUAUUCCAAAUAAUAAUAUUCAAGGUGAAAAUGCAAUUCUCCCAAUUUGACUUUUAACUUUGACUUAAACCCUUAACUCAAAUGAUUAAUUAAUUAAUUGGAGUUAGGUUUAAUAUCGAUUGACUUAUUUAACCCUUAUUGAUUAAUAGUGUAAUUAGGGUUUAAAUUGACAUGAUUAAAAUAUAAUCCUAUGUCGACAAUUUUGAUUCUACAUUCUCCCCCUUUGUCGAUGGCAUAUAUGUUUUAACUCAUGUCUAGUCAAUAUUCUAUUUUACCCUUAUGAGCAUGCUCCCCCUGAAUUAUUGACCCAUAAUAUUCAAUUUAAAAGCAGUGGAUCAUGCAUGAUUUCUCCCCCUUAAAACAAUAAGGUAUCGACAAAGUUAAAAUAGAUACCUGUGAAGUAUCUCCCCCUUAAUGAUAGGACAUAUCUAAUUUGUGGAGAAAAUAAAAUUUCAUACCUCAUUGAGCUUUAAUCACAAAUUCGAUUUGUGUGGUUGACCAAAUGUGACGUCUUGCUUAUAAGAGUGUUAGUCAAUCAUAUAGGAGAAAUAAUAUGUAAUUUAUGCUCAUUGAUAAAAUAUUGGAUUGAAGCCAAUUUUGAUAUACAUUAUAAGGCAAGUAUGAUAUGAUAAUUUAGAUUGCCUUGUGCUAAGAUCAUGCAAUGAAUAAUAAUCCAUGUGUGUGUUAUGGAUGAAGAUGAUCUUAACAUGUAUGGAUUAAAGAUUUUAUAAUGUUAUAAUCCAUAGGAUAUUAGUGAAUGAUAUGUAUAAAUCCAUAAUAUUCACUAAUUGCUUUAAGGAGAAAUUGAG
rnacentral:lncRNA from 1 species